ACACACGCACACACACAUUCACACACUCGCCCCCCUAGAGGACCAGCGCUCUGAGUAGAGAGGGAGCCUGGGGCGGGGAGGGGCAAGCAGCAGGCUGAGCGGAGCCAGAAGUCCUAACCCCUCGUGCUCUUUAAGCUCGCGGGGAAGGAGCUGCUCCACAACCCACAGGUGUAGUUCCUCCCCAGCCAAUAGCUCCUGAAGUUUUAUGUCCCUUGGCUCUCCCUCCGGCUUCACCGCUGGGACGUGAACCCAGCCAGGAAGAGCUCAGCUGAACUCUGGUCCAGAAGGACCAGAAGGAAUUAAUUCCUCGCUAUCCCCGGUUCCUCCAAUACAGCCCAGCCUAGUGGCUCAAGAUGCAGUACUUGCUCCGGAUGUCCCUGAGGCUGAGAUGGGAGGGCAAGAGCUGACGCGCCUACUUCUUCCUAGAGGCCAAGGUCCCAGCCAAGUAGAAGGCAGAAAAGAAACAGCAGUUACAAGUGUGCAACCCCUUUCUCCCCGCUCCCCCCACUCGCUGCUUGGACUGAACAGAAUCCAGAAAACUGAGGGAGAAUCCGGCUGAGUGGACCUGGAGUCUGCAGGGACCGAGUUGAAACAACCUUCACUGGGCGUGGUUGGCGCCCAACCUGGGAGGAAUCAGUGUGAGAUUCUGGCGCCACCUAGACGUCAGGGUGGGGAUUGCAAGCAUAGCGGGGAUGGCGACUCCCAGGGAAAUUUGGGCAGUUCAUCCCUGGGUCAUAUCCUGGGAUGAGAGGCCCACGUCAGGCAGCCCCUCCCUUCAGAUGGACACUGUGUGUGACCACUGUGUGAACGAGUGUAACAAGUGUAAGGUGUGGUUCUGAGAAGGGCCUGGGAGGGGACUGGGACCCCAGCCCUUGGCUGAGACUCUCGUCUCCACCCAGUCUGUCCUCCACGUUGGCUUAGUGUGGCCUUUCAACACCAUGCCAGAGUCUCCCGAGCCUGUUGACCACUCAUGACCUUCUUCCGAGACCCUAAUACCCAUUCUUGCGCAGUCUCCCUCCCUCCCAGCCCCUCUCAGAACUGUUUUCUUGGGUGUGGUGCUGACCUAGACCACGGGACUUGGGUGAAACCCCAGCUCUGACCCUGUACUGUCUGCAUGGGUUUAUUCCCAUACGAGGAAGUUCCUUCUUCUGGGCUGGUAUAGCCU
ensembl:lncRNA